rfam:Hordeum vulgare subsp. vulgare, WGS project CAJW01000000 data, contig: morex_contig_63061
UAUAUACUCCCUUCGUCUGAAAAUACUUGUCCUAAAGAUAAAUAUAAUGAAUGUAUCUAUAACUAAAAUAAGUCUAGAUACAUUCAUCUCUAGGGCAAGUAUUUCCGGACGGAGGGAGUACUCU